AGCGAACGCUGGCGGCAGGCCUAACACAUGCAAGUCGAACGAACUCUUCGGAGUUAGUGGCGGACGGGUGCGUAACACGUGGGAACGUGCCUUUUGGUUCGGAAUAACUCAGGGAAAAUUGUGCUAAUACCGAAUGUGCCCUUCGGGGGAAAGAUUUCUCGCCAUUAGAGCGGCCCGCGUCUGAUUAGCUAGUUGGUGAGGUACCGGCUCACCAAGGCGACGAUCAGUAGCUGGUCUGAGAGGAUGACCAGCCACACUGGGACUGAGACACGGCCCAGACUCCUACGGGAGGCAGCAGUGGGGAAUCUUGCGCAAUGGGCGAAAGCCUGACGCAGCCAUGCCGCGUGAAUGAUGAAGGUCUUAGGAUUGUAAAAUUCUUUCACCGGGGACGAUAAUGACGGUACCCGGAGAAGAAGCCCCGGCUAACUUCGUG
rnacentral:rRNA from 1 species